rnacentral:rRNA from 1 species
UACAGAGGUCUCAAGCGUUGUUCGGAUUCAUUGGGCGUAAAGCGCGCGUAGGUGGCUUCGUAAGUCCGUUGUGAAAGUCAAAGGCUCAACCUUUGAAAGCCGAUGGAUACUGUGAAGCUAGAGUACGGAAGAGGCGAGUGGAAUUCCUGGUGUAGCGGUGGAAUGCGCAGAUAUCAGGAGGAACACCAAUAGCGAAGGCAGCUCGCUGGGACGUUACUGACACUGAGGCGCGAAAGCGUGGGGAGCGAACAGG